rnacentral:rRNA from 1 species
GAUGAACGCUAGCUACAGGCUUAACACAUGCAAGUCGAGGGGCAGCAUGGUCUUAGCUUGCUAAGGCCGAUGGCGACCGGCGCACGGGUGAGUAACACGUAUCCAACCUGCCGUCUACUCUUGGACAGCCUUCUGAAAGGAAGAUUAAUACAAGAUGGCAUCAUGAGUCCGCAUGUUCACAUGAUUAAAGGUAUUCCGGUAGACGAUGGGGAUGCGUUCCAUUAGAUAGUAGGCGGGGUAACGGCCCACCUAGUCUUCGAUGGAUAGGGGUUCUGAGAGGAAGGUCCCCCACAUUGGAACUGAGACACGGUCCAAACUCCUACGGGAGGCAGCAGUGAGGAAUAUUGGUCAAUGGGCGAGAGCCUGAACCAGCCAAGUAGCGUGAAGGAUGACUGCCCUAUGGGUUGUAAACUUCUUUUAUAAAGGAAUAAAGUCGGGUAUGGAUACCCGUUUGCAUGUACUUUAUGAAUAAGGAUCGGCUAACUCCGUGCCAGCAGCCGCGGUAAUACGGAGGAUCCGAGCGUUAUCCGGAUUUAUUGGGUUUAAAGGGAGCGUAGAUGGAUGUUUAAGUCAGUUGUGAAAGUUUGCGGCUCAACCGUAAAAUUGCAGUUGAUACUGGAUAUCUUGAGUGCAGUUGAGGUAGGCGGAAUUCGUGGUGUAGCGGUGAAAUGCUUAGAUAUCACGAAGAACUCCGAUUGCGAAGGCAGCCUGCUAAGCUGCAACUGACAUUGAGGCUCGAAAGUGUGGGUAUCAAACAGGAUUAGAUACCCUGGUAGUCCACACGGUAAACGAUGAAUACUCGCUGUUUGCGAUAUACAGCAAGCGGCCAAGCGAAAGCGUUAAGUAUUCCACCUGGGGAGUACGCCGGCAACGGUGAAACUCAAAGGAAUUGACGGGGGCCCGCACAAGCGGAGGAACAUGUGGUUUAAUUCGAUGAUACGCGAGGAACCUUACCCGGGCUUAAAUUGCAGAUGAAUUACGGUGAAAGCCGUAAGCCGCAAGGCAUCUGUGAAGGUGCUGCAUGGUUGUCGUCAGCUCGUGCCGUGAGGUGUCGGCUUAAGUGCCAUAACGAGCGCAACCCUUGUUGUCAGUUACUAACAGGUUCCGCUGAGGACUCUGACAAGACUGCCAUCGUAAGAUGUGAGGAAGGUGGGGAUGACGUCAAAUCAGCACGGCCCUUACGUCCGGGGCUACACACGUGUUACAAUGGGGGGUACAGAGGGCCGCUACCACGCGAGUGGAUGCCAAUCCCCAAAACCUCUCUCAGUUCGGACUGGAGUCUGCAACCCGACUCCACGAAGCUGGAUUCGCUAGUAAUCGCGCAUCAGCCACGGCGCGGUGAAUACGUUCCCGGGCCUUGUACACACCGCCCGUCAAGCCAUGGGAGCCGGGGGUACCUGAAGUGCGUAACCGCGAGGAGCGCCCUAGGGUAAAACUGGUG